rnacentral:lncRNA from 1 species
UUUUUAUUUUUAUUUUUUUGAGACAGAGUCUCACUCUGUCGCCCAGGCUGGAGUGCAGUGGCAUGAUCUCAGCUCACUGCAACCUCCAGCUCCUGGGUUCAAGCAAUUCUCCUGUCUUAGCCUCCUGAGUAGCUGGGACUACAGGCACAUGCCACCAUGCCCAGCUAAUUUUUGUAUUUUUGGUAGAAACGGGGUUUCACCAUAUUGUUUAGGCUGGUGGUCUCAAACUCCUCACCUCUGGUAAUCCACUUGCCUUAGCCUCCUAAAGUGCUGGGAUUACAGGUGUGAGUCACCGCGCCCAGUCUGCCCUUAGUUUUUGGUUCAGCCAUGUUCCCCAGUCUUGCUCUGUCACCCAGGCUGGAGUGCAUGGCUGCAGUCUCGCUCACUGCAACCUCUGCCUCCCGAGUUUAAGUGAUUCUCUUGCCUCAGCCUGCUGAAUAGCUGGGACUACAGGCGCCCGCCACCAAGCUUGGCUAAUAUUUUGUAUUUUAGUAGAGACGGGGUUUCACUGUGUUGCCCACGCUGGUCUCAAACUCCUGUGCUCAGACAAUCCACCCUCCUCAGCCUCCCAAAGUGCUAGGAUUACAUGCGUGAGCCACCGCCUCCAGCCUGUUCCCCCAAGUUUUUGAGUAAUCUGAUUAUAUUUCUAGCUCAGUGGUUCUUAAACAUGAACACAUAUUAGAAUCAUCUAGGCUGUUAAAAUGCCAAUUGCUGGGACCCACCACAGAGUUUCUGAUUCAGUAGGACUGUUUCCAGGUGGUGCCAAGGCUGCUGGUCUGAGGACUAUACUUUGAAAACUACUGUUGUAGGAUUUUAUUUUUAAAAUUACCAAAGAACUUCUUAUUCAAAUGAACAACAGUCCUGGAUAAAUUUCACAGGUAAAUGCUUUCAAAUCUUCAAGGAACAUGUCAUGUUGAUUAACUUUGUGGUCUUGGGCAAGUUACUUAACCGCCCUGUCAGUGUUUUUUUUCUUGUGUAGAUGGAAAUAAUGAUACUUACAUAGUUGUUGCAGAUAUUAGAUGAAUCAAUGUAUAUAACAUACCUAGAAGGGUUCCUGGUACAUAGUAUUUACAAAUAUUUGCAAGUAUUUAUUUAUCUUAUUUAUUUUUUGAGACAGGGUCUGGCUUUGUUGCCCAGGCUGGAGUGCAGUGGUGCAAUCUCAGCUCACUGCAUCCUCCACCUCCUGGGCUCAAGCCAUCCUCCCACCUCAGCCCCCUGAGUAGCUGGGACUACGGCACGCGCCAUCACGCCCAGCUAGUUUUUUUGUAUUUUUUAUAGAGACAAGGUUUUGCCAUGUUGCGCAGACUAGUCUUAAACUCCUGAGUCCAAGCAAUCUGCCAGCCUCAUCCUCCCAAAAGGCUGGGAUGAUGCGCAUGAACCACCACGCCCAGACUCCAAGUAUUUAAACUGCUCCAGAGAACAGAGAGGGAAGAAAAUCAUCCAAACUAUUUA